rnacentral:misc_RNA from 1 species
GACGAACCGUGCGAACGUUGUUCGGAAUCACUGGGCUUAAAGGGCGCGUAGGCGGCCGCCGCAGUCGGGGGUGAAAUCUCUCGGCUCAACCGGAAGAGGGCUUCCGAUACUGGGCGGCUGGAGGGGGGUAGGGGCACGCGGAACUUCCGGUGGAGCGGUGAAAUGCGUUGAGAUCGGAAGGAACGCCGGCGGCGAAAGCGGCGUGCUGGACCCCGCCUGACGCUGAGGCGCGAAAGCCAGGGGAGCGAACGGG